AUGUUUCAUUUCAAAUUUCUGCCCUAUCAACUUUCGACGGUAGGGUAGUGGCCUACCGUGGUGGUAACGGGUGACGGAGGAUUAGGGUUCGAUUCCGGAGAGGGAGCCUGAGAAACGGCUACCACAUCCAAGGAAGGCAGCAGGCGCGCAAAUUACCCAAAUCCCAACUCGGGGAGGUAGUGACAAGAAAUAACGAUGCUCCGGCCAUCGGUCGGGUAAUCGGAAUGAGGACAAUUUAAAUCCCUUAUCGAGGAUCAAUUGGAGGGCAAGUCUGGUGCCAGCAGCCGCGGUAAUUCCAGCUCCAAUAGCGUAUAUUUAAGUUGCUGCGGUUAAAAAGCUCGUAGUCGGAUUUCGGGUGGUGCCUACCGGUCCGCCCUUGGUGUGUACUGGUAGGCGCCACCUUUCUGCCGAGGACGGGUUCCUGGGCUUAGCUGUCUGGGGCCCGGAGUCGGCGAUGUCACUUUGAGUAAAUUAGGGUGUUUAAAGCAGGCUUAUGCUCUGUAUACACUAGCAUGGGAUGACACGAUAGGACUUCGGUCUAUCUUGUCGGUCUGUAGAUCGGAGUAAUGAUUAAAAGGGACAGUCGGGGGCAUUCGUAUUUCGUAGUCAGAGGUGAAAUUCUUGGAUUUACGGAAGACGAACUUCUGCGAAAGCAUUUGCCAAGGAUGUUUUCAUUGAUCAAGAACGAAAGUCGGGGGCUCGAAGACGAUUAGAUACCGUCGUAGUCUCGACCAUAAACGAUGCC
rnacentral:rRNA from 1 species